rnacentral:lncRNA from 1 species
UUAUUGCCAUAGAAAUGCUACUUUUCCAUUUCUUUCUUUUGGGAAUUUAACCAAAUAUGAGGCAUUUCUCUACUUGUUUAUUGACCAUACUUUCCCUUCAUUUUCGGCAAACAAAACGAGUCCUUGAUGGUCCAUAGCUCAAUCCGGAUGAAUAAACUUGAAACUUAAAGGCAAGGCACAACUCCUUUGCUAUAUUGUGAGUAGAAGAGUCAGAGGUUGUUGGUAAGAGAAAGAGCGGACCUAGGCUUAUUUCAUGUCACUAACAUUUAGGCCCAUUAGGCUCGACAUUAUUUAGGCCA